rnacentral:rRNA from 1 species
UACGAAGGGGGCUAGCGUUGUUCGGAAUUACUGGGCGUAAAGCGCGUGUAGGCGGGUCUUUAAGUCAGGGGUGAAAGACGGUAGCUUAACUAUCGCAGUGCCUUUGAUACUGCAGGGCUUGAAUGUACUUGAGGUAGGCGGAAUGUGACAAGUAGCGGUGAAAUGCAUAGAUAUGUCACAGAACACCAAUUGCGAAGGCAGCUUACUAAAGUAUGAUUGACGCUGAGGCACGAAAGCGUGGGGAUCAAACAGG